rnacentral:rRNA from 1 species
CCUACGGGUGGCAGCAGUGGGGAAUAUUGCGCAAUGGGCGAAAGCCUGACGCAGCGACGCCGCGUGAGGGAUGAAGGUCUUCGGAUCGUAAACCUCUGUCAGCAGGGAAGUACGGUCACUGUGCUAAUCAGCAGUGAAUUGACGGUACCUGCAAAGGAAGCAUCGGCUAACUCCGUGCCAGCAGCCGCGGUAAUACGGAGGGUGCGAGCGUUAAUCGGAAUUACUGGGCGUAAAGCGCUCGUAGGCGGUAUGUCAAGUCAAGGGUGAAAUCCCCGCGCUCAACGUGGGAACUGCCUUUGAAACUGGCAGACUGGAGUGUGUGAGAGGAUAGUGGAAUUCCAGGUGUAGGAGUGAAAUCCGUAGAUAUCUGGAGGAACAUCAGUGGCGAAGGCGACUAUCUGGCACAUAACUGACGCUGAGGAGCGAAAGCGUGGGUAGCAAACAGGAUUAGAUACCCGGGUAGUC